rnacentral:rRNA from 1 species
UACAGAGGUCCCAAGCGUUGUUCGGAUUCACUGGGCGUAAAGGGUGCGUAGGUGGCUUGGUAAGUUUGAUGUGAAAUCUCCGGGCUUAACCCGGAAAUGGCAUUGAAUACUAUUGAGCUGGAGGUUUGGAGGGGGGACUGGAAUUCUCGGUGUAGCGGUGAAAUGCGCAGAUAUCAGGAAGAACACCCGUGGCUAAGGCGGCUCUCUAGUACGGUACUGACGCUGAGACGCGAAAGCGUGGGGAGCGAACAGG